ensembl:lncRNA
GUCUGCAGGGAUAUCUGGCCUGAGCAGGGCAAUGGAGCCUUUUCUGUGGGAAGAUGGCCUUGGAGCCAGGAGAUUCCAUCUGGAACAGGUACAAGAGCGUAGGGACCAUUUCUACACAGUAGGUGGAGCUCUUGAGAAGUCUAACCUGCUGGAAUAAAUAAUGAAGUAGCCACGAUUGGGAGAAACAGAGGUGUUUCUCCAAAUGUAAGUGGAGAGCCCAGAUGUAAAGGAGAGAAGAGAGACCUCGAGGAGGAGGUGAACACACAAGGUGGAGGGGCCAGGAAGCUGUUAUUAUUGAAGGGGAUCUCCAGCCCAUGGCAACCACUAGCUAACCAGCUUUCUGGGGACUUCCCUGGUGGUCCAAUGGUUAAGAAUCCGCCUACCAAUGCAAGGGACAUGGGUUCAAUCCCUGGUGCGAGAUCUAAGAUCCCACGGACCCUGGAGCAACUAAGCUGGUGCGCCACAACUGCUGAAGGCCACGCACCUGGAAACUGCCCUGCAACGAGAAGGCGCUGCAGUGAGAAGCCUGUGCACCACAGCUAGAGAGCAGCCCCUGCUUGCCUCGACUAGAGAAAGCUCACGCAGCAAUGAAGACCCAGGGGAGCCAAAAAAUCUGCUUUCUAUGAAUUUGAUGAUUCGGGACAUUCAAUAUACAUG